GAUGAACGCUGGCGGCGUGCCUAAUACAUGCAAGUCGAGCGAACAGACGAGGAGCUUGCUCCUCUGACGUUAGCGGCGGACGGGUGAGUAACACGUGGAUAACCUACCUAUAAGACUGGGAUAACUUCGGGAAACCGGAGCUAAUACCGGAUAAUAUAUUGAACCGCAUGGUUCAAUAGUGAAAGACGGUUUUGCUGUCACUUAUAGAUGGAUCCGCGCCGCAUUAGCUAGUUGGUAAGGUAACGGCUUACCAAGGCAACGAUGCGUAGCCGACCUGAGAGGGUGAUCGGCCACACUGGAACUGAGACACGGUCCAGACUCCUACGGGAGGCAGCAGUAGGGAAUCUUCCGCAAUGGGCGAAAGCCUGACGGAGCAACGCCGCGUGAGUGAUGAAGGUCUUCGGAUUGUAAAACUCUGUUAUUAGGGAAGAACAAAUGUGUAAGUAACUAUGCAUGUCUUGACGGUACCUAAUCAGAAAGCCACGGCUAACUACGUG
rnacentral:rRNA from 1 species